CAUCGAUGAAGAACGUAGCAAAAUGCGAUACUUGGUGUGAAUUGCAGAAUCCCGUGAACCAUCGAGUUUUUGAACGCAAGUUGCGCCCAAAGCCAUUCGGUCGAGGGCACGUCUGCCUGGGCGUCACG
rnacentral:rRNA from 3 species